UACGUAGGUGGCAAGCGUUGUCCGGAUUUACUGGGCGUAAAGAGCGCGCAGGCGGUCGUUCAAGUCGCGUGUGAAAGCCCCCGGCUCAACUGGGGAGGGUCACGCGAUACUGAUCGACUCGAAGGCAGGAGAGGGUAGUGGAAUUCCCGGUGUAGUGGUGAAAUGCGUAGAUAUCGGGAGGAACACCAGUGGCGAAGGCGACUACCUGGCCUGUUCUUGACGCUGAGGCGCGAAGGUCAGGGGAGCAAACGGG
rnacentral:rRNA from 1 species